AUUGGGCUCAGUCCUGGCUGUGGAGGGUAGUGCCUUGCCCAGCUCCUCUGGCUGGUGACAGCCCUCGGGCCUCAGUUCAGUUGUAUCUGAUCAGGACUUGACCACACAGAGGCUUCCUUUUCUCCAAGAAGAGGAUGGAAUAGACAAGCUGGAGCUGCUGGCUCCCGGAUGAAUUUCAGACCUGGGGUUCUCAGCUCCAGGCAACUUGGACUCCCAGGACCUCCUGAUGUUCCUGACCAUGCUGCUUACCACCCCUUCCGCCGUCUGGCCAUCUUGCCUGCUUCAGCACCACCAGCCACCUCAAAUCCUGAUCCAGCUGUGUCUCGUGUCAUGAAUAUCAAAAUCAAAGAAACAACCAUGACAACCCAAACCCCAGGUAAGUUCCCAGCCCCCUUGGCCCCUUUCCACAUCCUUGCCCCCAGCCUGCCCUUCCUGCUCCAGGAGCCGUGCCCCGGCUGUCCCAGCCCCCAUACAGGCUCCCUCUGCCAUCCUGCCACUGCCUGGGCAGAGCGUGGAGCGGCUCUGUGUGGACCCCAGACACCGCCAGGGGCCAGUGAACCUGCUCUCAGACCCUGAGCAAG
rnacentral:sRNA from 1 species